rnacentral:rRNA from 1 species
UACGUAGGGGGCAAGCGUUGUCCGGAUUUAUUGGGCGUAAAGAGCGUGUAGGCGGCUUGGUAGGUCCGCUGUGAAAACUCGAGACUCAACCUCGAGAUGUCGGCGGAAACCACUUGGCUAGAGUCCGGAAGAGGAGAGUGGAAUUCCCGGUGUAGCGGUGAAAUGCGCAGAUAUCGGGAAGAACACCUAUGGCGAAGGCAGCUCUCUGGGACGGUACUGACGCUGAGACGCGAAAGCGUGGGGAGCGAACAGG